AGCAGUUUAUCUCAUAUAUGAUGAACCAAUUGACGAAAAAAUAGACCAUUGUGAUGCACCAGAUAUGAAUGUUAUUGUUGGUGGUGAUGAAAAUGAAUGCUCUUCCAAGAGGAUUUCUCCUCAAGUAGAGUCCACAGAUGAUUCUAAUCAAAGACAAAAAAGAAGAAAGCAAUAGUGGAGAAGGCUUUCCAAAUUUGUAGAGAAGGCUUUCCAAAUGCAAACAAUCGCAGCAAUCCCAGUACGCUUCUAGAAGAAUUUCUCUGUGACUAUGUGAGUCUAAGACAUGGUUUAAAUUAUCCCAAUCAAGUCGCUAGUUGGCUCUUCAAUGUAUUCUUAUAAGUGUGUGCCUAUAGAGUUUACUUUUCCUUUGAUUUAGGAGACAACAGUAUUGCAUUAAGUAAAUAAAUGUCAGGCAAAAACUACAUUAUCCUGUCAUAUACAUGCCAUAGGAAAGAACUAUUUUGUUUAGCAUGCAUCUUUUUUAUUGUUGUGUCAGGAUGCUCGCAUUGAGAAUUGUCAUUCUUUUCCUUUCUAUUUUUGAUUUGUGGAAUUUGGUUUUGCUGGCUAGUGUAGGAGAUUUCUCUUUCUUGUAGUUUGUUCCAGAACUGUUUAAGAGAGACCUGUUCCCUUGAUGUUGAGGAUAUUGGCUUCUUGCUUGCCGCAUACAUUGUUUCGUUCAACUUCUUCCCUACUUCUGCUGACUGGAUUACUCAGCCGCAGGUUUUGCCUGACUAGGUGAUGCCUCUCUAGAUUGAUUGUUUAUUUUAUUUGAAAUUUUGUCAUUAUCGGGCAGUAAAUUUGUCUUAAAACCUGAUAACCAUUGUCCAUUGCAAUUGUAUGCAUCCUUAUCAUAUUACCAAGGUUUUAAGUUGUAAUCUUCAGCUUCAAUUGUAGCCUAAACGUCGAGGAUUUUGGGACACCUUUGACCGAAUCACAACAAUCGCAAUUGUUUUGCAACAUCAGCUAUCCACAAUUUUCCUCAAUAUCAAAGAUUGGUGUAAUUGCACGUUGUGUCUGCAGCCUCAAUAUCAAACCUUGCAUAUUACCCUGCUCCUAUAGUUUGUUGGUAAUGCAAGUAUUCAGUGUUAUACCCUUAAUUAAAAAUUCUCUGUGAGCAGUUUUUUCAGCAUGUGCUCUUGUUGUUGCUUAAACUUUUCUCAUGAUUGGACACAAUUCUAUCAAGCACUCAAAGAGUCCUGGCAUUCACAAUUCAUUUUCAUCAUCCUAUUGGGGGAGUGCUGCAUUUGUUUUCUUAAUGACCUGUGUAAUUGCUUUGCUUUCGUCAAACAGUGGUUUACUAAGCCAUUUAAUCUUUAAUUUUCUUUCUGGUCUUCAAAGCAAUAAAAUGAGAGAGAGAGAGAGAGAGAGAGAGAGAGAGAGAGAGAGAGAGUGAUAUUCGACAUGUGCUAUAACAUAUAGCACACAAACUUCUCAUAGCAUCGGGCACCUGACCAUAAAAGAAGUCCAUCUGACCAUAAAAGAACUCCUAAGAUGAUGAAUUUUGAAGGAGACAGAGAAGAAAAUGAGACUAUCAAUAGAUAGAGGGUGGAGUUGUUGUUCAACUGUGUUUAAAUAUGGAGAUGGGUUUUUUCCUGAUGAAGAAAAUAUUAGAGAUGAGUUUGAAUAUGAAACUCAAUAUGAUUUUUCUGGGUUGAAGGAAGAUGAAUAUUGGAGGUGAGAGACUCAGAUCAUGAACAUCAACUCCACGAACGGUCGAGAUCUGAAGCGAAUCAGAGAUUGUGGAUGAGUUGAUGAGUUGUUUGGAGGAAGCUUCUGUUUCAAUGGUCUAUCAUGGUUAGAGAUACAUGUGAGAUAGGAGAGAUUGGAAAAUGGUGAUGAAAAUGGAAGAGGAAGAGGAAGAAGGGUUGCUUUGAUUUUGUGGCUGGCUUGAUGUGGAAGAGUGAGACGCCGAAUCUGGAAAAAAUUCUGGAUUUGUUGUUCAUAUGAUUGUCAUGGAAGGAAGAUGAAGAUCAAAGGAAGAUAUUAAGUGGUCAUCAUGGCUUUAGUACAAGUCCAGAACACAACCAACUGUGUUUGUGGCAAUAUCCAUCUAUGACUAAAGUUGGUGGCUUGGAUCCCCAUACUUCUAGAGUCCUCCAUCUUUCUCAGGUAUGCUUCAAGUCAUAAUUACUUAAACCAGUAUAGUGGUAAAUCGAGAGACGAUUAAUCAUCCAAUGUGAAUUUUUAAAGCAUGUAAUAAUGUGAGUACAAUCAUUCAUUGGCAAGAGCAUCUAAUAUAGUUGCUUGGGAUUGUUUUCAACAAGUGACAUCAACUUCAACUAUGUUAAAACAUAUAAACAUGAAUGAAACCACUUAAACUUUAACAAGGGGAUUAUUUCUUUCAAGUUAUACACUAAUGCUCUUAUGUCUUGCAGAGUUCAGAUGGUUUAACUGUGGUUUCAUCUGGGGGAGAUGAGACGCUUCGCUUUUGGGAUAUUUUUGGACCACCUGCUACUGAUACAAUAGAGUCUUCGGUUCUGGUAAUCUAUUGUCGAUGAAGGCAUCACAAAUAAGAUGAUAGAAACAUAACAAUUUUGUUCUAUUAGGGUAGCAAUUUUUUGUGUGGAAUUUUAUCAUGCACAUGUCCUAUACUACUGCGGUGAGUUUUAAAGUUUUAUCAUUCUUGUGUAAAUUUUGUUAAAGAAACAAAAAAGCUCUUGUACUGUUAUCUGGCAGAACAACAUUGAAGUGGAUGUUACUCUCCUACAUAUAUCAAUUAUUUAUUGUCACAUUUACAUUAGUUCUCCCUUCAAAACCAAUGCCAAAUUAAAUUGUUAAACAAUAAUUAAUAUGAUUAAAUGUUGUCCUUUUAAUGCUUAAUGUUAUCAUGAUGAAUAGUAUAACAAUAUAACUAGUACUUACUAACAAAAUCAUGGCUCCAGACAGGGGGUUUAGUCCAAUUCUUGAUUCCCAGCUUUCCUUGUCCAUAAGUAAUACAAUAGUGCAAUUAUCAUUUACUUUCUUUCAUUUGUCAUAUUUUCUUACUAUGUGUAAAAUUUUUAAAUGCGACAAUUAUUACGGAAUAACGGAAGUAUAACAUUAUAACAAUGUUUGAUCUUUAUAGCCAAUACUUGAAGAAUUUGUUGUUGUUGUACUAGAACUAAAUAAUAAGUGUUACAUACCUGACUCAGGAAAUCAAACGAAUUAUCUAAGGAGUUCAAUAAUUGCAAAUAGUUCACUAUUAUUUCCUUUUUCUCUCUUAAAAGUCGCACUACCUUUUGUCAUCUUACUUUCAUAUGCUAUAACAACAUAUGUUGGAAUUUUUUCUUCCUGCACUAGUUUUUGCCAAAAAACACAAAAAUAUCUCACUUUUUCGAAAAAUUGCAGAAAUGUCCUACUUUUUCAGGGGUCUCUGGUACCACUCCAUUUGGAGUUGCGGGGUACCCUAAAAGUUGGUGAAAUUUUGUCCUUAUUAUACCCCUCCACUUGGAGUUGCGGGGUAUUUUCCCUUUUUUUUUUUUUUUUUUUAAAUACCCCUCCAUCUUGACUUGCGGGGUAUUUUCUUGUUUUUAUUUUUAUUUUUAAAUACCCCUCUACUUGGAGUAGAAUGGUAUAAUAAGGACAAAAAGAAAAUUGAAGGAUUGGGAUACGUAUGCAUGCAUAAUGUAUCUCAAUCCUUCAAAUUUUUCCUUUGAUGUCUUCGAGAGUUGAUUAAUAUAAUGGAGUGUCACAUAACCAUAGGUCAGGCGGUUCUUCCCGUAUUCUAUGAUAUAUAUCCAUCCGAUGUUCGUCAUCAAACAGGUGAGUUUGGUGAAGCUUUUCAAAAAGCAUUGAACAAAGUUUUAAAAGGAGAUGAAUUCAUGGUACCAAAGUGGAGAGACGCACUUCGUGAUGCUGCUGGCCUUGCAGGAUUUGUUGUCCUGAAUUCCAGGUCUAGCUUAUUAUGCUUUGUUAAUUAAUUUUUUUGAGUUAAAUACACUUUUCCCAUGCCAUUUAAACAAAUUUCGAUUUAUCCCAUUUAGUUAACCUUGUAAUUUAAAGAUUAUUUUUUGUUAGACUGUCGUGGUUUCCAAUUUUAGGACUAAUUGACUCUCGGCCCCUGUUAGGAUAAUCAACUUAAUUUGCACGUACAGUUUGCUUCUUUGGUCAUCACUUUCAAUCUAAUUGCGCCUUUUUAUAAUGAUUCAGCUUUACACACACAAUCCAACAAUAAAUUUUUUCCUCGGAUUCCCCCUAUACUUUUGACACAUGCAUACAUAGGUAAUUACUUAUACAUAAACACAUAAAUAUACAUAAACCCAUAUGUUGUGUAUAUGUAAAUUUACCCUUUCUUUGUUUUUUAAUAGGAAUGAAAGUGAGGUUAUCAAGGGUAUUGUUGAAAAUAUUACACGUUUGUUUGACAAGAUAGACUUAUUCAUUGUUGAUAAUCCUGUGGGAGUCGAAUCUCAGGUGCAAGAUAUGAUUAAACUUCUAGACACUCACCAAUCAAAAGAUGUUCUACUAAUAGGGAUGUGGGGGAUGGGUGGAAUCGGCAAAUCCACCGUUGCAAAAGCCAUUUACAAUAAAAUUGGCCGCAAUUUUGAAGGUAGGAGUUUUCUUGCAAAUAUUAGGGAGGUUGGGGAGCAAGUUUCUGGACAACAGCAUUUACAAAAACAACUUAUAGAUGAUAUUUUCAAAGAAACAACAACAAAGAUACAAAACAUUGAGUCGGGAAAAUCUAUAUUAAAGGAAAGACUCUGUCAUAAGAGUUCUCCUUGUACUUGACGAUGUGAAUAAAUUGGACCAACUUAAUACUUUGUGUGGAAGUUGUAAAUGGUUUGCUCCUGGGAGUAGAAUAAUCAUCACAACCAGGGAUAUGGAUAUACUUAGAGCGAAAAAAGUUGACAAGAUAUACGAAAUGAAAGAAAUGAAUGAAAGUGAAUCUCUUGAGCGUUUUAGUUGGCAUGCAUUCAAGCAAAAGAGUCCCAAAGAAGAUUUUUCCGAAAUUUCCAUAAAUGUAGUUAAGUACUCUGGAGGGUUGCCGCUAGCUCUUGAAGUCCUUGGGUCCUACUUGUUUGAUAGGGAAGUAUUAGACUGGAUUUGUGUAUUGGAGAAACUCCAAAGUAUUCCCAAUGAGCAAGUAUAUAAGAGGCUAAAAAUAAGCUACCAUGGUUUAAAUGAUGACACGGAGAAAUCAAUAUUCCUUGACAUAGCUUGUUUCUUUAUUGGGAUAGACAGAAAUGAUGUUAUUUGUAUAUUAAAUAGCUGCAGACUUUUCACAGAAAUUGGAAUAAAGGUUCUUGUUGAGAGAAGCCUUGUAAUCGUUGAUGAUAAAAACAAGCUUGGCAUGCAUGAUUUGCUGCGAGAUAUGGGAAGAGAAAUCAUUCGUGAGAAAUCACCAAAGGAGCCUGAGGAACGUAGUAGGUUGUGGUUUCACGGGGAUGUGCUUGAUGUAUUGUCAAAACAUACUGUAAGAACUUCAUAUACUUUGUUUUAAGUUCUGUAUUUUAAAUAUUUGUUUUUAGUUAAAUAUGAAAAUUUGGGUUGAAAAUAUCUCAAACUUAGUAAGCAUUUGAGCUAGUAAUCAACAUUCAUCUGUGCUGUUGUUAGCGCAAAAGCUUUCAAUAUUAGUUUGGUUGUGAAUUGAUUUAUGCUCUGUAGCUCCUAGUGACAACUGACUUGUUUUGUUACACGUUUUUUAUCUGCCUUAUAUCUUUUAGUUUUACUCAUAUGGUUGUGCUUCCUGGCUCUAUAAGAUGUUUUACUUUUGGUCCUUUAUAUUUCUCAGGGAACAAAAGUUGUUGAAGGACUGACUUUUAAGAUGCCAGGUCGUAGUGCACAACGUUUUAGUACCAAAGCAUUUGAGAACAUGAAGAAACUCAGAUUGCUGCAACUUUCUGGUGUACAACUUGAUGGAGAUUUUAAAUAUCUUUCAAGAAAUUUGAAAUGGCUGCACUGGAAUGGAUUUCCUUUAACAUGUAUAGCUUCAAACUUCUAUCAAAGAAAUUUAGUUUCCGUUGUGUUAGAAAACAGCAAUGUCAAACUUGUUUGGAAAGAGAUGCAGGUAUUAAUUUGGAGUUGGAUGUAUUUAUAGAGGUCCUUGGAUGUUGUGGACCAUAUAAACUCUUGGUGCAAUGUGGGACAUAUAAAAGAAUCCAAUGUUGAAUAAAUCCGGAUUCUAAAAUCCGAACCAACCAACACCGUACACACAGUCCCAAUUUUCCCUUUGGUUCACGCCAUGAUCGUAUUUUUCUGAAAUAUAAAAUCCUGAAUAUAUGUGUAUUCCAGAUUAUAUAUUCCGGAUUACACCAGAAGCUUUUGGUCGGUGGUCUGCACCACAAAGAAAACGUUUUUCAAACGUUUUGGGCAGUGGUCAAGUUGAAAAACACGAUUUUACAUGAUUUUUGACUAUAAUAAUGGUGUUCCCACCUACUUUUCUAACCCUCCAUCCCUAUAAAUAGAAGAACAUUUCCUCACAAUUUCUCACACCCUCUUCUUUCUCCUCUUCUCUUCUUCCUUCUACAACGAUGUGUUUCCAUCGUUGGCCUUUCAUAGAAAGAGGUCUCUUUGAAAAUUCAUCAGGGGUCAUAUGAUCGGUCAAUUGGGAAGGGGUCGGUCUGGGUGUGAGGUUGGUUUGUUUGGGUGUCAUAUUGACCAUCAUGGUCUCUUGUUUCCUAGAGGCCAUGUGCCCCCUAUGUCUCCCCACCAACACCAAAGUUACUGGUAUGUCCCAUCAGAUAGCAUUGGUUUCUUCUUCCCUGCCAUCUUCUUUCAUCCCCCCUCUUUCCUCUCCACCGGUGGUUGGAGCCAUCGGUAUUGCUUAUGUUAUAAGAUAAGAGUAGAAAUAGAUUUAGGAUCUUAUGUAAUAAGCUUAAAAAGCUUGAAAAUUAUUGUAAUGUAUUGUUCAUAUAUUAAUAAAAUCAGUUUUUUUUAUGUUUGUGUCUUUUUAUUUCUUAUUUUUUAUUUUAUUUGCAUUUUAUUUUACGAAUUUUGAAGAUUAAAAUUGUAAAAGUUCUGGUAAAACAUUAUUCCGGAUUUUCAAAUUCGAAAACAUCUGCAAAAUUCUAACAAUGCAAUCCAGAAAAGGAAAUUCGGACUAGGGGUAAAAUUGAAAAAAAAAAUAGGACACGCGAGAAAAAUCAUAGGUGGGAAAAGUAAUAGUCUAAUUAUUCACAUAUAAGAUCAAUGUUGGAUUAAUGACCGUACAUAAUGAUGAUGAUGAAUAUGAAAGCGGUGUUGUGUUUUGGCUUUUUUACCUCUCUACGUCUUUCUCGUAUUUCUAUAAGGAAACUAUGUUUUGAUUUUUAUUUUAUUUUUCUCCCAAAAGCUCAUCCCUUUAAAUUCCCUCUCUAUUUAAAGAUGUCAAGACCCAAGAUCAAGCUUAAAUUGAAGCUUGAAUUUCAAGUUUGAAGCCAAUGGAAGAAAGUUGUCAUGUGAUGUCAUCUUAGCUCGUUAUAAUGACGUCAUCUUAGCUGGCUUUGAAGAUGUCACCUUAUUCUUUGUGUAGUACACCAGAAAUGCUCGAGAUAAUUUUCGAUAAAACAAAUCUCAUUUGAAGUCCCUUUUUUUUUUAGAUUUUUAAGAGGAGAAUAAUAAUAAUGGAAAACAAUAAAAUUAAACAAAUUAACACUUAUUUUUGUUAUUUUUGAAAUUUGUUCGGACAAAAUUAAGAUACUACAAAUAUGUACACAUGUCAUUCAUUUAAUGAGUCCAUAUUAGUUUACUAUCAUGGAUGCUCUUACAACUAAAUAAAAUAAAGAGCAUUUAGUGUAGUUUUACCUAUUUAAUACACCCUCCGUCCCAGUUUAACUGAUAUAUUUGUAAAAAAAUAUUGUCCUAAGAAUCUUGACCAAUUUCACUUUUCAAUGCAACAUUAAUUAUUUUUCUCCAAUUAUAACUAUAAUUAAUACUACUUUCACAACUCUCAAUUUAAUAUAUUCUAAAUUACAUUUAUGAUAAAGAAUAGUGCACCAAUAUUUAAAAAAAACACUCAAAACUAUUUUUCUCUCUCUCUUUCUUUUAUAUAUUUUUCUUAAUAUGUGUGAAAUUAAGAAAAAUUUUGCAUGUUGUAUAAAAAUUAAGAAAAAAAACCAGCAAUCGCAACGUUAUUUAUAUUUUUUUUGACGUUGGCUGUGUUAUUAACACAUACAUUAAAAAAAAAAACUCAGCUUUGUACCAAAAGAAAAAAAUAAACUCAACACAAGCCAGUUAUUAUUUCAACCGUUAAAUAGCAAGUUAGGUUGCUUCUUCAAACAAAAAAAAAAAACCAAGUUAGGACAAAUAGUUAUCAUUUAAAUGUCAAAGAACCAGAUGAACUAGAUUUUCUUCCUUCUUUGAACCAAAAAUCCUCUGGCUGAGACAGGAGAGAGAAAAUGGGGAUUGGGUGGGUAUGAAAAUUACAUUAAAGCUCUGUUUCGUAAAAAUAACGGAUAGCUGAUAAGCUAGCUGAUAAGUUAACUGAAGUGUUUGGUAAAAAUAGCGGUUCAACUAGCUGAAAAAUAUAAAAUGACAUAAAGGGUAUUCUUAAUUCAUAAUAAAAAUUAUAUCAUUAAUUUAAGUAUUUGUAAUUUUGUAAACUAAUUUUUCUUUAAAAAAAUACUUUAAAUUUAUUAAUUUAAUAUAUCCUAUGUAUUAUUAAUUAAAUUAAAUUUUAUUAACUAAAAUUUUAUCUUAUAUUAACUAUCAUUUAAGUGUUUCUACUUUAUAAAGAAAAUAACAUUUACCUCAAAAACAAAAAUAAAAUGUAGCACUAAUAGAGUAAUACUAAUAACAGAGAAUAAAGAAAAUAACACUUAUCUCAAAAAAAUAAAAAUAAAAAGUAACACUAAUAGAAUAAUAGUAUUUUGUUUCGUAAAAAAAAAAACAAAGGUAUAUAUUUUUUCAAAAAAAAAAAAAAAAGGUCAGCUGAUAUAUACACAAAAAUUAGAAUAAAGGGAUAGUAGUCUUUAUUACGUAGCUUAUUAUAAAAAUUAUAAUGGAUAAAAAUACAAUUUAAAUGAAAUAAUAAGGGUAAAAUUGGAAGAAAAAGUGAGAAGCUAUAAGUUAUAAGCUCAAACGCUACUUGAAAUAGCUUCUGAAAAAUAGCUUAUAAGCUCGUGAAAUAAGCUAUAAGCUCAUGGUGAAAAAGUAUUACCAAACAGAACUUUUUUUGUCAAACGAAUUUAUAAGCUAUAAGCUAAAAGCUCUUUUUUUGGGUUUACCAAACAGACCCUAAAAGACAUUUAAUAGAUCACAAUUGAAGAGAGAGAAAAGGGUUUUUAGUGUCCAAAUAAUAAGGUGUUGCAUGCUAAUAUACACCUUCAUAAAAAUAGAUAGGUGUAUUAUUGCAAUCAAUACCUCUUUUUGUUCAUAUAAUAUUAGCGAAUUCCGGUUUUAGUUCCUGUAAAAACAAGCUUUAGAUUUUGUCUAUGUAAUUUCAUAUUCUUUCACUUUUGGUCCCUCAUUUCAUCACGUUAGCAGAAUCUGCAUAAAUUACGUCCUUGUAAUUUCAGAUUCCUCCUACUUUUGGUCCUUGUAAUUUCAAAUUCCUCCACUUUUGGUCCCUCAUUUUACGUGUCAUGUAUGCAGAUUCUGCUGACGUGGUGGAAUAAGGGACCAAAAGUGGAAGAAUUUGAAAUUACAGAGACAAAAUCAAAUUUUUUUUAUUACAGAGAUUAAAACCGAAAUUCGCUAAUAUUACAGGGAUGAAAAGAGGUAUUAAGCCUCUAUAUAUAUAUAUCUAUAUAUAUAUAUAUUCCUUUUACGGAUAGUAUAGAUAAGUUGAAUUGGGAGUGUCUUUAAAAAUAAAAAUAAAAAUUAACUGUGAGCAGAUCUGAACUCCAAACAAAGCAAGCACUUUAUUAGUCUUUAAACAGUAAGUGAAGAUCGAUUUCUUCCGACAAAUCAGUGGAAAUUCACUCUAGAUCCUCGCUCGAAAAUCGAAUAUCGAAUAUCGAUAUAUUCCUCUUCAGUUCCUUUAUCCAUGUCUUCCCCAAGAUCACUUUCCUCUUCCGAUUUUUCCGAUUUUUCCGAUGACAUCAUUUCCAGUAGAACAAGAAAGUACGAUGUGUUUUUGAGUUUUAGAGGAGAAGACACUAGAGCAUCAUUCACUUCACAUCUUACUUUCUCUCUUCAAAACGCCGGAAUUAUUGUCUUCAAGGACGAUCAGUCGCUUGAAAGAGGAGAGCACAUAUCCACAUCGUUACUCCAAGCAAUCGAAAUCUCUAGAAUUGCUGUUAUCGUCUUCUCCAAAAACUAUGCUGAUUCGUCAUGGUGUCUGCGAGAGUUGGUUCAAAUAAUGUCGUGUUACAGUACUAUAGGCCAAGUGGUACUGCCAGUGUUCUAUGAUGUUGACCCUUCCGAAGUUCGUCGUCAAACCGGUGACUUUGGUAAAUCAUUUCAAAAUCUUUUGAACAGAAUUUCUCAAGAGGAAGAGAGGAGGGUGCUAAAGUGGAACGAUGGUUCUUUACAAAGAGAUGACUUUCCUUUUUCAAACAAAGAUAUGGUGCGAAAAUGGAUAGAUGCCCUUCAUACAGCGGCUGGACUUGCUGGAUUUGUUGUCCUAAAUUCCAGGUUAUUUACUUACUCUCUCUCUCUCUCUCUCCAUUUUCAUAUGCUUUGUUUAGUACUCUCCUCACUCCCGAAAUAAUUGAGUCAUUUACUAAAAAAAAAGUGUUAUAAAAUAAAUAAGUCAUUUCACUUUUAAUAGUAAUUACUUGGCUAAACUUCACUUUUCGCCCUCUAAGUUUCAAAAUGUUGCGAUUUUAGCUCCCUAUUAAAAAAAAUGGCAAAAGUGACACCCUAUAUUUAGGGAAAUAUGCUCUUUUGACCUUCUAACAUAAGGGAAAUAUGCUUUUUGACCCCUUAUCUUUACAAAAAGUUGCGAUUAUGGCCCUUUUUUUGGGACACCUGGCGUCUUCUCAGCAAUUUUAGAAUGAAGGGGGCCAAAAUUGCCAUUUUUUUAAUAGGGGGUCAAAAUCGCAACAUUUUGAAAUAUAGGGGGCGAAAAGUGCACUUUAUUACUUUUUUCCAUUUAUAACUCUAAUUAAUACUAUUUUCAUCACUCCCAAUUCAAUAUAUUUUUUUUGUAUUUAUGAUAGUGAAGAAUCCACCAAUACUUAACAAAAACACUUAAAAUCAUCUUUCUCUCUCCUUCAUUUAUAUAUUUUUCUUAAUAUAUAUGAAAUGAGUCAAUGACUCAGUUAAUUCGGGACAGAGGGAAUAUAUUUUGGGCAUUUAAGGAAAUAUUUAGAUACACAAAUUAAUGAUAGUAUUAGUUUUUUCUAUAACAAAAGAUAAACUAUUUUGAUUAGCUUAUUUUAUUAGUUUAUCUACGGACGUAAGCAUCCCCGUGAACUUAGCUCAGUUGGUAGAGAUAUUGUAUAUUAUAUGUAGGGGCCAUGAUUUGAACCCUGGACACUCCACUUCUCCACAAUUUAAUUCUAUGAGCUCUAGCCACUAGGCUACUUGACCAAAAAAAAUCUACGGACGUAAGCAAUAGUGAGAUAGCAAAUGAAAACAACUUAUAGCUGAUAUAGGUUGACUUAAUUUUAUGUUUUUUUUUGUAGGAAUGAAAGUGAGGUUAUCAGGGAUAUUGUUGAAAAUGUUACUCGUUUGCUUGACAAGACAGACUUGUUCAUUGCUGAUAAUCCAGUAGGAGUCGAUUCUCGAGUGCAAGAUAUGAUUCAACUCCUAGAAACUCAACAAUCAAACGAUGCUCUACUACUAGGGAUGUGGGGGAUGGGUGGAAUCGGAAAAACCACCAUUGCAAAAUCCAUUUACAAUAAAAUUGGUCGCAAUUUUGAAGGUAGGAGCUUUCUUGAAAAUAUUAGGGAGGUUUGGGAGCAAGCCUCUGGACAAUUGUAUUUACAAGAACGACUUAUGAAUGAUAUUUUGAAAGACACCACAACCAAGAUACAAAGCAUUGAAUCAGGAAAAUCUAUAUUAAAGGAAAGACUGUGUCAUAAAAGAGUACUUAUUGUACUUGACGAUGUCAAUAAAUUGGACCAACUAAAUGCUUUGUGUGGAAGUUGUAAAUGGUUUGCUCCAGGAAGUAGAAUUAUCAUCACAACUAGGGAUAAGCAUAUACUUAGAGGGAAACAAGUUGAUAAAAUAUACAUAAUGAAAGAAAUGGAUGAAAGUGAAUCUCUUGAGCUUUUUAGUUGGCACGCGUUCAAGCAAACAAGGCCUAGAGAAGAUUUUUCUGAAAUUUCCAAAAAUGUAGUUAAGUAUUCUGCGGGAUUGCCACUAGCUCUUGAAGUCCUUGGGUCUUAUUUGUUUGAUAGGGAGAUUUUAGAGUGGAGAUCUGUAUUGGAUAAACUAAAAAGAAUUCCCAAUGAUCAAGUGCAUAAGAAGUUAAAAAUAAGUUAUGAUGGUUUAAAUGAUGAUACACAGAAAGAAAUAUUCCUUGACAUAUCUUGUUUCUUUAUUGGAAUGGACCGGAAUGAUGUUAUUCGUAUAUUAGAUGGCUGUGGAUUUUUUGCAGGAAUUGGAAUAAGUGUCCUUGUUGAGAGAAGCCUUGUAACGGUUGAUGAUAAGAACAAGCUUGGCAUGCAUGAUUUGCUCCGAGAUAUGGGAAGAGAAAUCAUUCGUGAGAAAUCACCAAAGGAGCCUGAGGAACAUAGUAGGCUGUGGUUUCAUGAGGAUGUGAUUGAUGUCUUGUUAGAACAUACCGUAAGAACUUCAUAUACUUUGUUUUAUAUUAUGGAUUUUUAAUAUUUGUUUUUGGUUAAAUAAGAAAGUCUAGAUUUUAAACAUCUCAAUCUUAAAUAGCAAAAACAUUUAGCUAGUAAUCAACAUUCAAUUUUGUUGUUGUUAGCACAGAAGUUUUGAAUAUUAGUUUGGUUGUGAAUCAUUUUGUGCUUCAUAUCAGCAUGCACAAAUGUUUCAUUACAUGUUUUUUAUCUGCCUUAUAUCUUUUAGUUUUACACAUGAUUAUACUUCUCGGCUUUAUAGGAUGUUUUACUUUGGUCAUUUAUAUUUCACAGGGAACUAAAGCUGUUGAGGGGCUGAGUUUGAAGCUGCCAGGUCGUAGUGCACAACGUUUUAGCACCAAAACAUUUGAGAACAUGAAGAAACUCAGAUUGCUGCAACUUUCCGGUGUACAACUUGAUGGAGAUUUUAAACAUCUUUCAAGAAAAUUGAGAUGGCUGCAGUGGAAUGGAUUUCCUUUAACAUGCAUACCGUCAAACUUCUAUCAAAGAAAUUUAGUUUCCAUUGUGUUAGAAAACAGCAAUAUCAGACUUGUGUGGAAAGAGAUGCAGGUAUUAAUUUUGAGUUUUAUUUUUAGUAUUUUGAGUUGUUUUCACUUAUCAUAUUUAUGAGUGCUAUUUAAGUGUUGCGUCCCGUUUGCAAUAGUAAUAGAAGGACUGGAGUCCUAGAUAUCAUAUCCAAUGGACUAAAUAGUAUUAUUUAGACAACCUAACUUUUUUUGUGCUUAAAGAAAUAUAAUUUGAUUGUUUAGACUUUGAUUCAGAAGAACAAAGGACAAAGCAGUUUGUGAUUAUGAAUUAAAACAGUUUGAUUAUAUUACAUAAGAUCCAUCAUAACCCUAACAAUGAAUUUGUUUACAAUGUAUAAUAGUAUAAACAAAAUCCACAUAGUAGUACAUAAAUCAAAAUAAUAAAUAAUGAAAUCCAGAAGAGAUAACCGCAACGGAGAGGAUUGCAAUAUUGAGUUUGAUUAAAAAAGCUUUCAGUUUAAAUUUCAAACCUGACUAUAAUCCCAAAUAUUUGAAUUCACAGAAAAAUACGUAUGCAUGUAAUAUUUUGAAAGAAAAAGUAAUACUCCCUCCGUCCCAGUCUCCCAGAUUAACUGAGCCAUUUGUUCAUUUCACACAUAUUAAGAAAAAAGUAUAAAUGAAUGAAAGAGAAAAAUGGUUUUAAGUGCUUUUGUUAAGUAUUGGUGCAUUCUCCACUAGCAUAAAUGCAAAGUGGAAUAUAUUGAAUUGUGAAUGAUGAAAGUAGUAUUAAUUAGAGUUAUAUUUGGAAAAAAGUAAUUAAUGUUGUAUUGAAAAGUGAAAUUGGUCAAUUUUUUGUGACAAUAUUUUUUUGUAAAUGGCUCAGUUAUUAUGGGACGGAGGGAGUACUUUUUUUUUUUUUGUGGUCGCCGAGGUUUGAACCCUGCACCUUGCAUAUAUUAUGCAUCAUCCCUACCAACUGAGCAGCUCACGAGGACGGACAGAGGGAGUACUAAACUAUCGUAUAUUGGUAUUAAAAACAUGUCUCUGCGUCCAGAUAAACAUUUUAUUAUCACUUUCAAGGUUGCAACUACUGUAAUAUUUAUGUUAUUUCAGGGGAUGGAGCAGCUGAAAAUUCUCAAUCUUAGUCAUUCUCAAUAUCUGACACAGACGCCUGACUUUUCAUACUUGCCUAAUCUUGAAAAGCUAGUACUUAAAGAUUGUCCAAGGCUGUCUGAGAUUUCCCAAAGUAUUGGACAUCUCAAGAAAAUUCUUUUGAUAAAUUUGAAAGAUUGCAUUAGCCUUUGUAACCUUCCAAGAAACAUCUAUACGUUGAAAUCUCUGAAAACUCUCAUUCUAUCUGGAUGUUCAAUGAUUGACACGUUGGAAGAGGACUUGGAACAAAUGGAAUCUUUAACCACUCUGAUUGCAAAUAACACUGGUAUAACAAAAGUACCCUUUUCAAUUGUAAGAUCAAAACGCAUUGGAUUUAUUUCUUUGUGUGGAUAUGAAGGAUUCUCACGUGAUGUGUUUCCUUCUAUCAUUUCGUCUUGGAUGUCACCAACAAAUGGUCUCUCGCCCACUUUUCAAACAACUGCUGGGAUGUCAUCCCUUGUUUUUUUAAAUGCAACAAAUAGUAUUUCCCAUGAUAUAUCAUCUAUUUCUUAUGUCCUUCCGAAGCUUCAAAGCCUUUGGCUGGAAUGUGGAUCAGAACUUCAACUUUCACAGGACACAGCAAUAAUUUUGAAUGCUUUAAGUGCAACAAAUUCCAAGGAAUUGGAAUCAACUGCAACUACAUCACAAGUAUCAGAGGUGAAGACUUCUUCAUUAAUUGAAUGUUGUGAUCAAAUGCCAGAUUCAGCAACAAAAAAUUACAUGAAAUCUCUUCUAAUUCAGAUGGGAACGAGUUGCCUAAUCUCCAAUAUUCUCAAAGAGAGGAUCUUACAGGUUUCACCCUCUCUCUUGCAUGUGUUUAAUAGUUAUAUUUUAAAUAUAAACAUUAUUAGAAGAGAGAAAUCUUAUAGUUUUGGUAGUUGAAUUAUUUUUAGUAUAUCGAUUAUAUGAUAAUGUGAUAUCUCUUGCAUUUGCUUGAAUUUUGUUUUAUGAAAUCACAUCCUUCCAAGUGCACAUCUUAGGGAGUGGUACAAUUUGUUAGCGUCAUGACAUUAGUAUCAAGAGUAAUGCUACCAGCACACUCUUUGGCUUUCCCUUUCAAACAUUUCUUUUCUCAUGAUUUCAUUUGGAAUCCAUUCCAAAACUGGUGACCUACAUUAAUUUCACUCGAGAGAGUGUGUUGGAAAGAGACUAUCUUGGUAGAACUACCAAAAUAUCAAAUGGAAAUCAGAAACCCUUGCUUUUUUUUUUGGUUGAUAUCGUUUGUUGAAUCUACACCUCUCUAUUAUUUUUAAUAUUAUUGUCAAAAUAUUAUAAUUUUUUUGUAAUGCAUGGGCCCAUUACAUAUGAUGCCGUUGCACCACUCUAGCCUUUUAUAAAAUAAAAGAGAGAGAGAGAGAGAGAGAGAGAGAGAGAGAGAGAGAGAGAGAGAGAGAGAGAGAGAGAGAGAGAGAGAGAGAGAGAGAGAAUGAGGUGUUCAAUUGAAUGGGAGUUUGGAAAAUUAGGUGUCCAAAAUAUCAUUGUUGUUGUUUCUAUUGAUAAGAAUACGAAUAAUCAUCUUAUAAAGAAUAUUAUAUAUUUAAUUUUUGAAUAAAUGAUUGUGAUGUUAAUAUAUCGUUAAAUCAAAUAUUUCCACUUUUUACAGAAUUUGACUGUCGAUGGGCGUGGUAGUUUUUUGCUCCCUGGUGAUGAUUACCCAAAUUGGUUAAGUUUCAACGCCAAAGGUUAUUCUGUAAUUUUUGAAGUCCCUCAAGUGGAAGGAUGUAGCUUGAAGACAAUAAUGUGCAUUGUCUAUUCUUCAAGCCCAUAUGACAUAACAUCAGAUGGCCUUAGAAAUGUGUUGGUGAUAAAUCACACAAAGACCACCAUUCAACUCUAUAAGAGAGAGGCGUUAUCGUCCUUCGAAAAUGCGGACUGGCAGAGAGUGAUAUCAAAUAUGGAACCUGGUGACAAAGUGGAGAUAGUUAUUGUAAUGGUGAACAAUGUCAUUGUGACGAAGACAGCAGUUUAUCUCAUAUAUGAUGAACCAAUUGACGGAAAAAUGGACCACUGUGAUUCCCAAGAUACGAAUGUUAUUGUUGGUGGUGAUGAAAAUGAAUGCUCUUCCAAGAUUGUUUCUCCUCAAGUAGAGUCCACAGAUGAUUCUAAUCAAAGACAAAAAAGAAGAAAACACUGGUGGAGAUGAAUGAUGUUAAAAAAUUGAU
rnacentral:lncRNA from 1 species